rnacentral:rRNA from 1 species
GACGAACGCUGGCGGCGUGCCUAAUACAUGCAAGUCGAGCGCAGGAAACUGACGGAACUCUUCGGAGGGAAGGCAGUGGAAUGAGCGGCGGACGGGUGAGUAACACGUAGGGAACCUGCCUCAAGGAUUGGGAUAACUCCGAGAAAUCGGAGCUAAUACCGGAUAGUUCAACGGACCGCAUGGUCCGCUGAUGAAAGGCGCUCCGGCGUCACCUUGAGAUGGCCUUGCGGUGCAUUAGCUAGUUGGUGGGGUAACGGCCCACCAAGGCGACGAUGCAUAGCCGACCUGAGAGGGUGAUCGGCCACACGGGGACUGAGACACGGCCCAGACUCCUACGGGAGGCAGCAGUAGGGAAUCUUCCACAAUGGACGAAAGUCUGAUGGAGCAACGCCGCGUGAGUGAUGAAGGUUUUCGGAUCGUAAAACUCUGUUGUAAGGGAAGAACACGUACGAGAGGGAAUGCUCGUACCUUGACGGUACCUUACGAGAAAGCCACGGCUAACUACGUGCCAGCCGCCGCCGUAACAC